AACCUUUACUAUAGCUUGACACUGAACAUUGAGCCUUGAUGUGUAGGAUAGGUGGGAGGCUUUGAAGUGUGGACGCCAGUCUGCAUGGAGCCGACCUUGAAAUACCACCCUUUAAUGUUUGAUGUUCUAACGUUGACCCGUAAUCCGGGUUGCGGACAGUGUCUGGUGGGUAGUUUGACUGGGGCGGUCUCCUCCUAAAGAGUAACGGAGGAGCACGAAGGUUGGCUAAUCCUGGUCGGACAUCAGGAGGUUAGUGCAAUGGCAUAAGCCAGCUUGACUGCGAGCGUGACGGCGCGAGCAGGUGCGAAAGCAGGUCAUAGUGAUCCGGUGGUUCUGAAUGGAAGGGCCAUCGCUCAACGGAUAAAAGGUACUCCGGGGAUAACAGGCUGAUACCGCCCAAGAGUUCAUAUCGACGGCGGUGUUUGGCACCUCGAUGUCGGCUCAUCACAUCCUGGGGCUGAAGUAGGUCCCAAGGGUAUGGCUGUUCGCCAUUUAAAGUGGUACGCGAGCUGGGUUUAGAACGUCGUGAGACAGUUCGGUCCCUA
rnacentral:rRNA from 1 species